rnacentral:lncRNA from 1 species
CUUCAAUUGACCAGAAGAGGGAAGCAGAGGACCUGAGAUGGCAUCUGAAGUCCCAGUAAGUGACUUGGGAACAAAGGAACACAUGUAAGAAGAUAAGGCAGCAUCAGUUCAGGAGCUUGUCUUGGAAAGAUCAUCUCCCAAGCAGACUGAACCAUUCACAUUUCAACCACAUCAUCUUCAGAAUGCGAAGGCCCAUUAUUGGAAGCCAUCACCUCAUACCAUUAUGCAUUUCCUAGAGCUUCCAUAGCAAACAGGUCUCCUUAAAGUCGGGGAGUACCAGGAGAUCAUCAGGAUGGGGCUGAUGGAGACAUCAGAAAACAGUGAAGCAAGGCCAGUAGACCUGGAGAUUGCAGCAACAGUUCCCAAGAGCUGGGGCUUCCUCACAGCUGUGUGUGUUUGCAUCUUCUGGUCCCAAGAGCAGCCACUGCUCAGGCUUAGAUGCCAUCUUUCUCUGGAAGGAAAGAUGUGGAGGAGGGCCUGGUUUAGAUGAAAUGACCUGGGAAAGCAUCUUAAACAAAGUACCUCUUGCCAGAGCCCUGCACAUGUUCCUGCAUCCUAACAUGCUCACUGUGGGUUAUGUCCUGAGAAGACCUGCUUGGUUUAGCAGCUGUGGUACCCAUGAAAGAAAUACAUCUCUGAUCCUGUGGUAAGUGAAAUCAAAUUUCCC